CAAAAUUAAUCGAAUAUUUGUACUAACAGUGAAAUUCAUUUCCUCUUAUUUAUAACGCUUUUGUGAAAAAAGCUCUGAGCUCUAGUCAUUUAUUGUUUUAUAUGAAAAUAAGUAUAGCAUAACAUCGUAAACGAUUAUUUUACACGACGUUAUAAUCUUUAAAAUAAUUGAAAAUAAUGCAGAUACAUAGUAUCAAUACAGUACAGCACAGUAUUAUACAAACUCAUGGAAGAAGUAGUUCACUAUUCCACGUGUUUUCGAUCAUUUACUCAAGUUUACUAGAGGUUUGAGUAUUUCAAUACUUAUGUAGAAUAAAUAUUAUAAAUAUGUAUUAGUAGUUAAUAAAUUAGAGUAUCAAGUUUAAAUAAAAAGCUCUAAUUUAUUAUUUAUGUGCAAUGUCGUUAUUAAGGGUUAGGUACGAAUUUCGUAAGUAUUAUGAUAAAUACAAUGAAAAUCAUUGAUUUAUUGUGAUACACUGUUCUAGCCAGAGAUGUUUACCAGUACUUACCAAAUAACGUGUGUAAUUAAAAUGAUGCAUGUCGAAAUAACUGUAAAUAUCUGUGUUAUAUUAAAUUCUUUAUUUUAUAUUUUAUGUGUACCUAGAUCAAGCAUCAAGAUAGAGUAUUGGGAACAAGUAUUGUCAGCAUGGAAUAAAAAAGACAUACAAUGAAAGUAUUAAUGUUUUCAAUAAUACUUUUAAUAUUCUUCAAAAGAUACCGAUUGAAUGAGCAAGGCCCGCAUAUAUGUGUAACGUUGUAGCGCCCAUGAUAAAAGUAGUAAUAGCU